GUGAAUCAUCGAAUUUUUGAACGCAAAUUGCACUCUCUGGUAUUCCGGAGAGUAUGCCUGUUUGAGGGUCAGUUUAAAUAAAAAUCGGUGUGGUUGCUGCCUUUCGUGGUGACGCACCGGAUGUGGUUGGUUUUGCUUUAGGUUAAUGGACUGAAAAUUUUGAAGGAUUUUUCCGACCGAAUUUAAAUAAUUUUAGUAAGGUUUGGAA
rnacentral:misc_RNA from 1 species